rnacentral:tRNA from 2 species
CCGCCACUAGCUCAGUGGACAGAGCAUCUGCCUUCUAAGCUGUUGGUGCGAGGUUCAAAUCCCCGGUGGCGGACCA